rnacentral:tRNA from 1 species
CUAAAGAGACGAGAAUCGAACUCGCGACGAAGAAGUCAAAGUUCUUUGUUUUCCCCUAAACUACUCCUA